rnacentral:tRNA from 1 species
GGCUUCAUAGCUCAGUUGGUUAGAGGGUCGCAACGGUAUCGCAAGGUCACGGGUGCAAACCCCGUUGAAGUCC